rnacentral:rRNA from 1 species
UACGAAGGGGGCUAGCGUUGCUCGGAAUCACUGGGCGUAAAGCGCACGUAGGCGGAUUGCUAAGUCAGGGGUGAAAUCCUGGAGCUCAACUCCAGAACUGCCUUUGAUACUGGAGAGCUUGAGUCCGGAAGAGGUGAGUGGAACUCCGAGUGUAGAGGUGAAAUUCGUAGAUAUUCGGAAGAACACCAGUGGCGAAGGCGGCUCACUGGUCCGGUACUGACGCUGAUGUGCGAAAGCUAGGGAGCAAACGGG